rnacentral:snRNA from 1 species
CAACUUUAAUGGAAUGUCUUUCGUGUAUAUUUACUACGUUACCUCCAUUGCACUUUGGAGGGGUGCCAGCCUAAGAUCGGCCUAAGUGGUCGAACCUACGUCGUAAUUUGUGGCAGCGGGACGUUCGCGCGGCCCCUAC